UUACAUGAUGAAUAAGAGCUUUGCUCGAUAAUCCCAGCUCGUCGAUGGCCUCACAUAUUAUAAUCCAACCAAGAGGUCAUAUGAGAUGAAGUCCCGUCUGAUCAA
rnacentral:snoRNA from 1 species